rnacentral:rRNA from 1 species
UCGCCUGUUUAUCAAAAACAUAGUUUUAUGGUUAUAUAUAAAAUAUUUUCUGCCCAGUGUCAAUAGAUAAAUGGCCGCAGUACCUUGACUGUGCUAAGGUAGCAUAAUCAAUUGGCUUUUAAUUGAAGUCUAGAAUGAAUGGGAUAAUGGAAUUUAGCUGUCUUGAUUUUUUUUAAUAAAAAUUUAUUUAUAAGGUGAAAAUACCUUAAAUUAUAAUAAAGACGAGAAGACCCUAUGAAUUUUCAAUUUUUUUUUGUUGGGGCGACAGUUUAAAAUAUAAUCUUAAAUUUUAACUAUAUAACGAUUUUUUUUAAUAAAAAUUAAAUUACCUUAGGGAUAACAGCAUUAUUAUUUAAAUAGUUUGUGACCUCGAUGUUGGACUAGGAACUAAAAGGCUAACCGUCUUUAUAGAUUUGUUCUGUUCGAACAAUUUUAUCCUACGUGAUCUGAGUUCAGACCGGA